rnacentral:lncRNA from 1 species
AGCGCCAAUUUUUCAGAAAAAAUAAACUGAAACAUAAUGCGCCACAGAGCAAACACAAUAUCCAUGAAUCAAGAUUAGCUGCAGGAAUUAGAAGAUCCUCUGCACACUGAUGGGCAGAUCCAUCCUUGGACCCACUCUCUAACAUCUCGGAAAGAUUAAUCUCAAACCACAGACAAAUUCGAAAGUGAUCAGGCCCAAAUUCUACAGAACUUCCAAAGUAAACAAAUGAACAUUGUAGCAAACUGACUGGACGACUUUAGUUUGAACAGUCCAACAAGCAAUUCAACAGCACAAUACCCAUGACAAAGUGAUACAACAUUUGCGCGACUGAACCUACUCCAAUUUUGGUCCUAAUCUGUAUCUGAAACUCAUCGGUGGACAUAGAGCAUACGACCACAGCAAAGCAGGGCACAAUUCAGUUCUAGAUCAGAUCUCAAGCAAGUGCUACUCUGGAGGCCGGUCGCCAGCAAGAGCAAAGGAGUAGUAACCCACGGACCUGUUGAGCAGCGAGGCGGAAAAAAUAAACUGAAACAGGGGCUCAGGCGAUGGACAGCUCAGGCGAUUAACUUUCAAGAGGAGACAUACCUCUGGUGUAGCCGCCUCAGGCGACGGACGGCUUGACGGAUGUUCUCCUUCCGCCGGCGAACUUGGCAUUGGACGGCUCGACGACUCGACAUCCCAGACUCCCAGCUAUCUUGCUCUGGCAGCUUACUGGUAGCAGACCAAAAUGCUUGGAUGCCUGUUCUGGAAGUUGUUCCAAAUUUGUGCAGCUCCCUAGGUGGACUCAUAGAAGGUUGAACAAUGUUUUGUUAAUCAGAUACAGCAUCCCUAUACACUUAAAAAAUGCAUAAACAAAAUCUACCUCAUUAGAUGCAUCCUUAUAUGAUUCUUGGCAGUUAGCUGAACACAGAGAUAAUAAGAAACACAAGAAACUGGCUUUUUAAACUUGCAUUAUUGCAGUAUGCAAGAAAUUGAUGAUAUUGUCCCCAAGUGGUCUAACAAUGCACCAAGUGAUUAUGGGUGUGUUCGGUUUCUCUCUGCUCCUCAACUCCACUCCCGGAGUUGGUGGAGCGGCGCCGAACGCUUGAGCUCCACGGAGCUGAAAACAUGGAGUGAAGCGGGCUGCUGUGCAAUUUUGUGGAGCGGCUAAUUCUCAGAUCUCAGAUCUUCAAUAUCAUGGAGUUGAUAAAAUUUACAAAGGAACUGCCACCGCCAAGUGGGAAACGGUUCAGAGCGGCCACACGACUCGCUCGUUUCUGUUUCCUCCACC